rnacentral:rRNA from 1 species
GACAGAGGAUGCAAGCGUUAUCCGGAAUGAUUGGGCGUAAAGCGUCUGUAGGUGGCUUUUAAGUCCGCCGUCAAAUCCCAGGGCUCAACCCUGGACAGGCGGUGGAAACUACCAAGCUGGAAUACGGUAGGGCAGAGGGAAUUCCGGUGGAGCGGUGAAAUGCGUAGAGAUCGGAAAGAACACCAACGGCGAAAGCACUCUGCUGGGCCGACACUGACACUGAGAGACGAAAGCUAGGGGAGCGAAUGGG